GUUAAUCCUCCAAAUUCUGAAAGUAAAAAAAAAAAAAAAAAAAAAGAAUAUGAAGUUCCCAGAUGAAGAUGAGAUCAUGGAGAAGGAUGAAGCUUUUGAGGAUGAAGAUAGCAAAAAAGAUGAUGGAAUUUCCUCUAGCCUUUAGUCAAGACCUGCAUGGGCAGGCUCAGAAAGAGACUACACAUACGAUGAAUUGCUCAAAAGAGUAUUUAACAUCAUGCAGGGAAAAAUAUCCAGAUAUGGUAGCUGGAGAAAAACGAAAAUUUGUCAUUGAAGCCUCCGUGGGUUGUAAGAGCAGGAACCAAGAAAAUAUCUUAUCUCAACUUUACAAAUAUCUGCAAAUUACUACAUUGUCAGCUAAAACAUCUUCUGGUGUUUUUGUUGGCAGAAUUGGGUACAAAUGGCUCAAAAGAUGUUAACAACCAACUUGUAAUCAAAGGAAGAUUCCAGCAAAAACAGAUAGAAAAUAUCUUGAGAAGAUAUAUCAAGGAGUAUGUCACCUGUCAUACAUGUCGGUCACCGGACACAAUCCUACAGAAGGACACCAGAUUAUAUUUCUUGCAGUGUGAGACCUGCUAUUCUCGCUGCUCCAUUGCCAGCAUUAAAACUGGUUUCCAGGCUGUCACAGGCAAGAGACCACAGCUCUGUGCCAAAGCUAACCAGUUUGCUCAUCAACACUGGAUUUUUGCAAAGUGUUCUGGGGAGAUAUGACUGGACAGGUUUACAAUCGGAAUGGAUUUACCGUUGUAUUAAAACAAGAUUGUAAAAACUACAAUAAAUUUGGCUUUUGAUUGAUUAGUCUGUGAGAUCCUUGCAAGAUGCAGAUCCUCAAGCUGUUCAUGUACAUUUGCUCAUUGAAUAUAUUUUACCAACUGUAAGGAACGUGAUGGGAAAGGAGGUGCUUUUUAAUCCAUUCAGAAUUCUGUAAAACACAAGAUAAAUUAAAGAUACUAUAACAGUGAAAA